GUACGGUCUGGACCGUAUGCGUACUUUUUCAAAAUACGCAUACGGUCGGACCGUACGCGUACGGUCCAACUAAUAAUAAGAAGAUGGUCAAGUUUAUCAGAUACAAAUGUAAAUAACAGAUAAAAAAAUCUUAUAUCUCAAAUUAAUAUAAAAAGUUCAAUUGAUAUUGAAAUGAAAACUUAAUAUUAUAACUUUUUAAAAAGGUCACGCUAGUUUAAUCUGUUAAUCUCCUGUAAUUAGCAUGUCAGUAAUUAAUUAAAGGCCAGUAUGCUCAUUGAAAUUGGGGUUAACGUAUGUAAACAAAACGUACAAGGACAUUCAAUUGUUUUAUAAUAUUUGUGAACUUUAAAAAAAAAUGCAUAUGCAAAGGAACAUGAAUGGACCGC
rnacentral:lncRNA from 1 species